rnacentral:misc_RNA from 1 species
GAUGAAGAAGGUAGCGAAAUGCGAUAAGUAAUGUGAAUUGCAGAAUUCAGUGAAUCAUCGAAUCUUUGAACGCACAUUGCGCCCGGCAGUAAUCUGCCGGGCAUGCCUGUCCGAGCGUCAUUUCACCCCUCGAGCCGCUUUUAGUGGAUCGGUGUUGGGGCACUACGGUAAAACGUAGGCCCUGAAAUGAAGUGGCGGUCCCGCCGCGGUGCCCCCAUGCGUAGUAACGUUUAGUCUCGCAUCGGGUCCCGGCGGAGGCCUGCCGUCAAGCCUAUUUAUUCUCAGAAUAGUUUGACCUCGGAUCAGGUAGGGUUACCCGCUGAACUUAAGCAUAUCAAUAAGCGGAGGA